CGGAAGGGUAGACUGCUCCUUCUCCUUCUCAGCCUUCGAUCUGUCACAAAAUACAGGCCAUAUAAAAGAACCGAUUUUCAGGUUCAAAUAAACCGUUCCAGGGCUUCGAUACAUUUCAAAGUGUGCAAGCACAAAAAGCACAUGGAUACAUUUGUGGGAGAAAAACUCGUCGAGUGUAGUCUUAUCGAGACGUUUAACGGUUGGAACAAACCUGGAAUUCCUUAACCGAGCAGAAUCCUCAAAACCCAUCGAAUUGUUAUGGCGAUUUAAAAAUACCAACAGAUCUCUCAGGCAUUGAUCAUAAUCAAUGGACAGGUAAGGAUAUUCUGGACAAUUUUCAAAAGGAAUUGCAAUUGAAAAGCAUUUGAAUUUUAGAUGCCUUG